AACCUGUGGUGAGGGUAGGAUCUCAUCAUCUUAUUGUAUCGCUCCUAUGCUUCAAAGAGCGACUCACCAUUCAUCUGUCUAAAGCAUGUAAUUUGGUUCCUUAAUUGU